ACAUGAAAAAAUCCUAAAAAAUUUCUAAAGAAAUUAGAAAGAAAUCAUAAAAAAAUAAUAAAUCGACCUUAAAGAAAUCCACAAGAAAUCUUAAAGAAAUAUUAGAGAAAUCUUAAAUAAAUCCUAAUCAAAUCCCACUUUAAUUCUAAUUAAAAUUCUAAUAGAUCUUAACUAAAUCUUAAGUCAAAUCUUAAUUAAAUCUUAAAUCCUAAAUAAAUCCUAAAUUCUAAGUCAAAUCCUAGAUAAAUUCUAAAUCCUAAAUCAAAUCUUAGAUAAAUCCUAAAUCUUAAAUCAAAUCCUAAUCAAAACCUAAUAUAUUCAAAUCAAUCCUAAGAUAGAUUAGAACUU
rnacentral:lncRNA from 1 species